AGAAAGCCUUUCCUUGUGAUACGGGUUGCGCUGAUCAUCAGGAAUACGGCAGAGUGUGAAUGUGAAACUUGGCAAUUCGAAAAUUUUCGGUUAUUUUUUUUUUCGUUGUAGAUUCGUUGGCUGGAACGGUUUUCUCCCCAGUUGCCUGAAGAAGGUCACCGGUUGAGUGUGUGUCGAUCAAUUUGGUGCCGUGUUUUUGCGCCGAUAAAGCGAGUGUUGAGGAAUUUGAACAAUUUUGUCGUACAUGCGUGAAGUUGCGUGCUUCGUGGUUGAAAACAUGUCGGGCAAAUUGCGCAAUUCUAUCUCGUAUAAACAGCCGUGGAAGUAGUGUAGUGUAGUCGAAUUUUGAAGCUCUGGUGUGCUACUGCGGCCACCACAAUAUCAAUCCGGAAACCGAAGGUAAAAAAACUAAACACAACAACAAUUGCAUUGUGUAAAACAGAAGAAGAAGCAUCAACCUAAGCAAAACCGAAGCAAGCAAAAACAGACAAACGUAGAAAGUGAAUGUUUUUUUUUGCACUUGUGCCACCAGACGAAGAACCAAAAUAAGAAAAACAAAAAAAAACGGAAAUAGAAGUGAUCUUUCAAAUCUCAGCCUUGAAGGUUCGCGUGUGCUGUUGUUGGUGAUCUUGGCGUUUAGCUGGUAGUCCGCACGGAUCGGUGCCCACGCCCUGUCCCUGUCCCUGGCAGAGUGUAUGUAAGUGUGCGGGAAUGUGUUCCGGCUGGGUGGAAGAAAAAACAAACGAGAGUGUGGCAAAAGAAGAAGCAACAGAAAAGAAACAAACCAAAUAGCAAACAAAUAACAUUAAAAGUCAAGUGUGGUGCAGAAGCGGAUUUCGCCGCGGCAGCAAGAAAAAAGAAAAUCGAAUCAGCAUAAAUUUGCUGUGCAGCACCUACCUCGUUCCCCCCUUCCCUUCCCCUGCUACUAUUUCCAGAGACCCAAAGCCACGGUGCGAUUCGAUUCGGUUCCAGCUGUGGCAUAAACCGAAACGCGAGCCGUCGGUGAAGGUGUUUCUUUUCAUAAUCAUUAGCAUUCAUCAUCGUCAUCGCCGUCAUCGUCAGUAUCGAUGCAACAUUCCACGUGCUGUUGAUUUUGUAGUCGCACUGGAAACCGAACCAGUUGCUGCGACGUAGCAACAGCAUAAAUACCUAAAUACGGCCGGAGAGAGUGUAAACAAAAUCGAUCAAGAGAAAAAAUUAAAGUUUGUUUUGAAACAUUUGAAACAUUUAAACUUGAAGAAAAUCACCACAUCGUGAGAGAGAGAGAGAAAGAGAGUGAGAAAAAGUGAGGAAAAGAUGGAAUCGAUGGCCUCGCUCCGACUGCAACAGCACAAGCUAACCUCCAUACAGAUAAGCGCCGAAACAACGGUUUAUACCAGCCUUGAUUCGAGCCUCGCCGCGUUGCAGCGGCCAAAGUCGUCCACAGCCGGGGAAGAAGAUAGUGGUAACAGUAACAGUCUCCCCCCAGAGGUGGAAUUGUUGCUAUCUGCUGCUGCCGUUGCUGCUGCUGCUACCAGCGCCGUUUCUACCACCGAUGGCGAACGAGAAAAAGUUGUUCAACCAGAGGAGUUGAAGAAAGAAGAAAGAGCUGAACCGAUCCGGUACGAGUCUAGUUCGGCUCCGAGUCCAGAGUUGCAAAAACAGCAGUGGCAAGAGGCUUACAACUACGACGACGACGACGACGACGACGUCGACGAGUACGACGCCGUCGACGAGGGGAGAGUGGUUGUGGUCGAUUCAUCCAGAUCAUCUGCUGGUGAAGUGGAAGCUAGUGCCGUUGGCCUUGCAGCAGCAGCAGCUAGUAGUGCGCUGGAGACCGUGCAGGAGCCAUCAUCGUUGCCGUCGUCCGUGAUCACCGAUCAGGAAUCGCACGUCGUACGCAUUCAGAUCGUUCGAAAGGAGGACAACAACAACAAACACAGCAUCGAUUGCAGUUCCGUUAAUUACAGUACCAAUUCCGGUUCGGCGGUGAUUAGUGUUAACAACGACGGUCAGGCGACAGUGUUGAACAAUAAACAGUGCAAAUCGAAGGUGUCGAUUGUGUCAUUUGGACCACCGGAUCAAGAAGUUUCGAUAAGCCCAACGCCUGCCGAAAUGGUUCAGAAGCAGGCCAGCCCUUCGGGAACUCCGACCGCCAAAGUCGGAGAUUUGGACGUCAACAACGCGACCUAUCUGUACUACAUGAUGUCGUCGGGUCAGUGUUCACCGAGUGACACCCUGGACAGUGGCACGUGCAGUGACAUCGAGGUGACGCCACCUCCAUUGCCGAAAAAGAUGUCCAAGUCACCGCAGCCACCGAAACAACAGUUGCAGCAGCAGCAGCACGCGACCACGACGCUGAUGAUGAUAGGAAGCCGGUCACCGACGCCCGCUGAUAAGCCUAAUCAGGGUGGAUAUCUGCACCAGCGCGUCGUCGGUAGCAGCAAUUACACCACCAGCGAUAGUGACGAAUCGGAGUCCAGCCUGAGCUGUGAUUCGCUGAAUUUUGCUCAACUGUGCGGAAAUAUUAGUGCAUUAGAACUUUCCGCGGUGAUGCCAGGUGUGGAGUCGCGUUCUCCGGUUUCAUCCGAUAAUCAAAGUGACAGUGAGCGCGAUAAUGGGGACCUUGGGUCCACACUGAAGAAGCAAAAAAUAGUGUCGUUUCUUCCGGACUCGUUGCUCAAGGACAUCCGGGAACGGUCCGGUGGACGUGCCGACGCGUGUGAGAACAUAUCUCCACCGGCACCGUGUUCGCUUUCGCCGUCGCCGCGUGACGAUAUCGUAACGACAACCCGUUCGAUCCUGAUGGAGAAGAUUAACAGUUUGAACAGUGUCCGCCCGGGCAGUGGCGAUCGGGAUGGUGCUAGUGUGUGUUCAUCGUCGGUUACGGCCACGGUCGGAACGAACGGCAUCGGAAGCAACAAGUCGCUCAGUUUCGAGAACGAUAAGUUCUACAAGUUUCACAUCAACGAGCACUCGAAUCUGCCGGAACGCACCAGCAAUGGGCGUCCGGCCACCAGCGGAUCCUCGUCGGUUAUCGAUGACGAUGAGAGUUUCGCCGGUUUUAAGGAUUUAACCAGCGGAACUUCGACGAUCCGGAGCAACAAGGGCACGGUGCGCGGUGUGAAAAACCGGGUACGCAACGGUAUUGCGACCUUUCUGCAGAUGCAACAGGCUAACAUAAAGAACUAUAAGGAAAAGGAUGCCGGCAAAGUGGUAGUGUACACAACGAGCAUGGGCAUCGUCCGGGAAACCUACACCAAGUGUGCAAAUGUGAAACAGAUCCUGCGAACGCUGCUGGUUAAGUUUGAGGAGCGAGACGUUUUCAUGAGCAGUGACUACCAGCAGGAGAUCAAGGAUCGAAUGCAGAGCGAGGCAAUCAAUGUGCCGCAGGUGUUUGUCGACGGUCAACAUGUGGGGGACGCCGAUUGCAUCGAACGACUGAACGAAAACGGCGAGCUGCGGAAAAUGCUAAAACCUUACAAAUGCCUCGAAUCAUCCUUCACGUGCAAAACCUGCGGUGGCUAUCGGCUCCUGCCGUGCCCAUCCUGCGGUGGUUCGAAAAAAUCCAUGCAUCGCAAUCAUUUCACGGCCGAGUUCAUAGCCCUCAAGUGCAUGAACUGCGACGAAGUAGGGCUGGUCAAGUGUCACAGCUGUUGAGUGGGGCAGCGUUUCUAGCGUUUAGGAUCCAGGUGCAUAAUGCUGCCGCGUGUGAAUGUGUGUUCGUGACCGACCAGAACGGGGAUACCGACUGACCAGAUGAUGGUGGUAUGAUCAAUCUGCGUACGAUAUAUAAUUUAGUUUUUAGCGAGAGAGCCCAUCACUUCUGCAUGAUGUAUCGAAUCGCGUUCACAAGAAACGCAUCGAAGUAGAACGUCAACUCUGUGGCCUUCUUUGUACGUACUACAUUGCAAUAUUAGUUUUAAAAGCCGUGGUAGUUGUGAUAAUCGUACUUCGAUAGAAUGUAAGCAACAACGAAAACAGCACCGUAUGCGUAUAUUUCUUCAUUUGUUAUUUGCUCAAACAGUAUCACUAUUGCUUUAACUUACAAGUUAGUUCGAAUGUACGGUCGAAACUUGAAAUUAUUUUGUUAUUGAUUUUUAUAAAGUAGACAAUUCCCGCAUUAUGUUAUCAUUACUUAUCAAUAAUCUGUCAUUUUUUUGUUGUAGAGAAACAAUUUAUUUAUGUAUAUUUUUCUAGUAGUUUUCUACGAGUAUCCCAACUGUAUUGUAGAUUUUUUUCCUAUCGAAAACAAAGGAGUUCGUUGUUUUCCAGUGGAGAAAAAAACCGAUGAAUAAAUGUAAGCUUAGUACCCUAGAGGAUCGUUGCGAAACUGGUUCAAGAUUUUUAUUUUUAAUUUUGCAACCUUCUGCAAAACGAAUCAAACAAGAUACUAGAACAAACAAACAAAAAAAAAACGAUUGCAGCUGAAGUUGAGAUGGAAUAUGCGGCAGCAAUUUUAGGCAUUUUUUUUAGAACAGUAAAAGAAACUAGUUGUAAGUUGUAAAUAGCAGCUAAAAAUAUCUACUUCCAAUAUUACCAUCAGAAUCAAGCAGCAAUUUUGAGAAAACAGAAAAAAAAUCACAAAGAAUCAUUUUAACCUAACAAUAGACGUUACAAAUUGGGUAGAAAACCAGUCAAAGGUGAAACGAUUGCAGAAGAUUCAGUUUCAGUUUUGAGACUAGGUAGUGCAUUUCUAACAUUCCAAAAAAAAAAGCGCAAAAUUCAACAGCGUUCAAAUCGCUCGCCAGAAAUGUUUAGGUUUGGUGUGAAUUGUACGCUUGUCUGGUGUAUGUUUUGUAACGAACUUAGUACAUAGCGGAAAUAUUACAUGAAUUUGUGAUUAAAUAAUA